AGAUUCAGAGAAGUCCUUCCUCAAGAAGGAACCUCUGCCUGGCCUUCAGCAGGGCCACUGUCAUGUGCAAUAUUCACUUAGAGCCUUAUCACGUUUGUGGCUGUAGAGGUGUUUGCGUGACUUGUUUAAUUUAUCCCACUAGACUGCCUUUUGAACGGAGCCCGGGGAGGACAGGCUGGCAGAAGAGGGAGGAGGGUUUCUAGCUGAGACAGACUGCGGCUGUGGGCCUGCAGCCUACCCCUCUUCAAGAUCUCCGGAGCCGUUCCUGCGAAACCAGCCCCCACAAGUGGCUGAUGCUCCUGUCCCUCUUCUGGCCUGAUUGAUCCCUCUCCUGACCCCUAAGGAUGAAGAUCAAAGUCUCUACAUGGCAUGGAAGGACCCUAACCACCUUGCAUGAACCUGCAAAGGAUUUGAUGCCAGUGACAUCUGAUGAGCUCUAGGGCCAUGGGUAAAUCCCUGAAUCACAGGGAGCAUCAUCUGUAAAGCAGUG